CUAGCGCGGGCCUGCAGCGCCCGCUCCGCCGCGCCUGGCCUCCCUGCAGGCCCCGGGCCACGGCCCCGGCUCCUCACUCCUGCCAGGACUCACGUUCCGGGGGUGCUUUCGCCUGCCGUGCAGACACACAGUCUAGAGAGCGCCUCAUUUCUCUACCUGCUUCAGAGACUGAAGUUCUUCUCACCUGACAGCAUCCCCACCAGUGUUCCUGCAACUCAGCCAAGCAGGGAAGACCCACAUGUUUAAAGCUCAUGCUGACCAGCUACCACUCUUACUAGGGAGCACCUGAUCUGUGAUUUUAUAAUUUAUAUUUUGGGUCUUUCUGAAAUGCCUGGCAGCAGAUGUUACAUUGCUCAGGGUACCACCGGCCUCGAGUCAGACACAAUCAUCACUCCAAAAGGAGCUUCAUUGUCUACUCAGUUCAAAGACUCUGUUAAGAGAAAUUAUAAUCUGCAGAGCACUACAGGAUGUUCAUUUGCAAAGUCAGUUGCCUACGUUGUUGCACAGUAAAAAUGCAGGUCAGAAUAGCUGAGUAGAGAUAAAACAUGGAAAGCACAGAUCAAAACUACCUUUACCAUGUGGUAAUAUAGUUGUUAGAUCAGAACUAUGUCUCUGAACUAAAAGAGUCUGCAUCCUGUUAAAAUUCCCACAUCCCCAUGGCAAAUUUUAUUUCCUUUUGAAUUCAGUUGUAAAAAUUGGAAGCAAGGAAAUUCACAGGCCAAAACACUGUCUAGAUAACAUUAAGGGGCAUGUUGCUUCCAAAGCCUUGCGUGGGUUUUAGCCACAUGUCUCCCACUGAUUUUAAUGGGAUUUGCAUGGCUAAAAUCCUGUGCAAUGCUUUGAAAAUGUAUCCCUAAGGGUCUGUCAUGAAUUCAUAAAGCCCCAGAAUUUCUGAGUUAAAACCAAAAUAUAGUGUUGGCUGAUUUUAAAGGCUUGUUACCACUCUCCUAAUUAAAAUACAGCUUAGUUUGGUAAAAGGUCUAUUCUGCUUUGCAUAUAAUGUAUAUGUGUUUAAUAUAAUUCUAGUAUGUGUAUAAUUUAUAUGGUUGUGUUAUUUACACUACAAAAGAGUUGUGUUAUACGCAACUUCUAAUUUUCAUAACACUUUCAUUAUACAUUGGGUAGUAAGCUCCAAACAAUGAAUAAAAUUGCUACUGUUCUUUCAAUGAGCUCAUAAAUGUCACUGAAGAAAUUGCCAUCAUGUUAAGGGUGAGUUGGUUUUGUGGUACACUUAUUGACAGAACAGUUUGUUCUCACAUAAGAUUACAACAUUUUCUUUAAACUGUUUUACAUGGUAUUAUAUCAUUAAGGAUCAAGAAAAGCGGGAACACAAAUCAAUACCUCACAAAAUGUUUGGUUUCUGACGAAUGCACAAAAUUAAGGGAAGUCAAUGGGAAGGCUGUUCUUUCAUUCUUGUGCCUCACAGGAAGGAUCUCAGGUCAACACUGUCAUUACAUUAAGUGGUCCAUGAACAGCCAGUAUGUCAGGUCAGCAAAAGCAAACUGGUACUACUGACUGUAAGCCAGUUGCUUAAUGCUUUGCAUUGCUAUGCCCACCAAAUUUGCAGGUUUACUUAUCUUCAUUUUCAAUGCUCCUAAUCUGUUCCUGCAUUCCUCUUUGUUUUCACCCUCAUUAGAGUUGGAUAAUGUUGUAUUUGAUUAUCAUCAGCUAGAAAGAACACCCUAGUCCUAUAUAUCUACCAAGGUAAGCAGGCAUUUUAGCACAUCCUGACUUGCCAUAUUAGAUAUUCAGUAGGUGGUUAUUGAAUGCACAUAAACAAAUCUGAUUUUGUGUAAGCAAACAAAUACACCUCAAAUACUUGCCAUCAAAAUGAGUAAGGUAUAAGAAAUUUCUACUCAGCUUUUCAAUUUUGUCUAUUUCUUGUGUUAAGUAUAAAAAGCCAUGGAAUCACAGAAUUGAUACGAUUAGAAGGGUCCACAGUGGGUUAUCUGGUCCAACCUCCCUGCUUAAGCAGGGUCAUCCUAGAGCACAUGGCACAGCGUUGCAUCCAGACAGCCCUUGAAUCUCCAGUGAGGGAGACUGCCCACCCUCUCUUGCCAGAGAGGUGGUUUGGUUAUUUUUGCUAAUCACCAAAAUUAUCCUUGCCCCUGCUACAAGGUCAAACAAGUUUUGGGAGCAUUAGUUUUAAAAGCAGAUUCCAGAAAGAAUCAGCUUUCCAGGUUCCAACUUAAGUAAUAGCAAAGCACAGCAAACUUGCUUGACAUCAUCAGCUGAACUUGCCCAAUAUGCAAAUACAAAUCACCUCACAGCAGUUAAGUCCUUUUAAAAUUUCUUGGUUUGUAUUUUGCUACCAAGAGGACUCUUAAUGUAUGAAAGUUUCCCUUCAGGAUGAACAAUCCCUGGCAGGUAUUCUUUAAUGGGGGCUGGUUCCAUAGCUCAGUGGUCCACGAACUAUAGCCCAUGGCUCUAUAGUGGCCCAAAAGCCUUGGAUAAUAAACAGAAAAAUAUACCAACUUACACUGUGUCCAAACAUGCCAUGCUGCUAUUUUCAAUGUAGCUUUCCUGAUUUGCCAGAAGGAAGUUUUCAGCUAAGUGCAAUUUGCACAUUUGCUCUGGGCCUUUCUUUGAAAAAUGCCCUGGUAUGUUCCUCGAAGGGUACAUGGCAGCUGAGGGUUAAAGGUGGUUCACUGGUCUAGAAAAGCCUUGGGGCCAUUGCCUUAGCUGAUUCUGGGCAAUGUGUUUUCACUGAAAUCAUCAAUCCUUGCAUUUUAACUCUGAUACUCAUUACCAUUCUUUAAAAAUACCAUAAAAAUUAAAGAUAACAGUGCGUGAACCCUGAAAGGCAAUAUCCCUUGGCCUCACAUAUGCAUAAGAUUUCUCCUCUCCUUUUUUCUUUUCCUUUCUUCCUCCCCUCUAAUCUCUCUCCUCAAUGAUUGCUCUUUGAUAAACAAUAACAUACAAGAAGCAAAACUCACACAGGGAAUCAAACACACAAAAAUAAAACCGUACAAGAGGCGGUGUCUAUGCACUGCUGUGAGUUGCCCCCUUCUUCACUUGUUUUAUUCUUAAUUUAGAUCCCUGAGGAAUUUUCCUGUUUGCCAAAGACACAUUGCACAUUCUGAUUGAACAUGUUCUAAUUCUUCCA